UUGGUACCAUCAAAGAAGUCCCGGCAAACUCCGUGCCAGCAGCCGCGGUAAUACGGAGGGGGCAAGCGUUGUUCGGAAUUAUUGGGCGUAAAGGGCAUGUAGGCGGUUCGGUAAGUUAAAGGUGAAAUGCCAGGGCUUAACCCUGGAGCUGCUUUUAAUACUGCCGGACUAGAGUCCGGGAGAGGAUAGCGGAAUUCCUAGUGUAGAGGUGAAAUUCGUAGAUAUUAGGAGGAACACCAGUGGCGAAGGCGGCUAUCUGGUCCGGUACUGACGCUGAGGUGCGAAAGCGUGGGAGCAAACAGGAUUAGUCGCCUGGUAGUCCACGCUGUAAAC
rnacentral:rRNA from 1 species